rnacentral:rRNA from 1 species
AUUGAACGCUGGCGGCAGGCCUAACACAUGCAAGUCGAACGAGUGGCGGACGGGUGAGUAAUGUCUGGGAAACUGCCCGAUGGAGGGGGAUAACUACUGGAAACGGUAGCUAAUACCGCAUACCAUCGGAUGUGCCCAGAUGGGCUUAGCUUGUAGGUGAGGUAAAGGCUCACCGAGGCGACGCUCCCUAGCUGGGCUGAGAGGAUGACCAGCCAGACUGGAACUGAGACACGGUCCAGACGCCUACGGGAGGCGGCCGUGGGGAAUAUGGCACAAUGGGCGAAAGCCGGAUGCAGCCAUGCGGCGUGGAGGAAGAAGGCCUUCGGGUUGUAAAGUACUUGCAGCGGGGAGGCGUUACCCGCAGAAGAAGCACCGGCUAACUCCGUGCCAGCAGCCGCGGUAAUAC